rnacentral:lncRNA from 1 species
UAAAAUCUUCAUGAAGGAUAAGAUAGAGGAUAUGUAUAAUUAUUAAAUUUAUAUGAUAAUAAUUUUAAAAAAAUUAUGUAUAACAAUUUUUGAAAAAUAUGUAAAAUUUGUUUAAACUGAAGUAUUUAAUUUGAGUCACUACAUGUCUUGUUUAUUAUCUAGAUAAUUUUAUAUUAUUAUAAAUGAGUUUAAGUAGGUAAAAAAUAAAAUAUUUCUAUCAAAUUAAAUUUUAAAAAAUAAAUAAUAAUUCUUAAAAUUUUAAAUAUACUUGCAGAUGAAAAAAUUGUGACAUCCCAGUACCCGAUGGGACAACGGUGUCCAAUAGCAUAACAUAUACAAGUCCAUAAAAUAUUUAUACAGCUGAAGAAACAGUUAUCCCUUACAAAAUAUGAUGUUCAAAUAUAUUUGAGACCAAUACGUCGACGAAUAAAAUAUAUACAACAUUGCUCUAACCACUUCUAUCAUUACAAAAUAAUUGUUCUAUCAUAGUACAAUUUUAAAUAUACACUCAACAACAACUAUUGGUGUGCAAACAGAUCCAAACAAGCUUUGAAGGGCACCUCGGGGGCUAUUUCUUCACUUUUCACAUCGUAUGGGGGAAUAUGGAUUGUGGUGAGUUCCAUAAAACUCUACGAGGGAAACAAUAUUUAAAUUACACAACUAACAUUUCAAAUAUUAUUUUAUUUUAGAAGAAAAUACCAUUACAUUUAUAGUAAAAGAUACUGUUAGAGAGUGUUAUAGAUUUUAUUACAUCAUUUUUCAUUUAAAAUACUAUUGAAAACUUAGUGCUUUUAAUUUUGAAAUACCAACCUCAAAACAUAAGCAAUUAGAUGAAACAAUGAGAAGCAUAAUUGAUACAACUAUCUAAACAUGGCAUAAUAAAAUAAAACAGUGAAAAACAUAUUCAACACAAGGAAACUCAUCUAGCAUGGGGUCAUAACAAUCCAAUCUAAAUUUCUCGGUUUAGUUUCAAUUAUUUACAGUUUUUUGUGUGAAACCGUUUUAACUUAUAUCAGCAUAUGACAGAAGGGAUCCCCUACUAUUACUAUGACUGGAAAACAGUUCAGUUCGGUAUGCGAGAAAGUAGUUGGAAACUAUGAUCAUGCCUGUACUUCACCACUGUGGCUCUUAGAAUCAAUCGUUAACCACUCUCGUCAUGUAACACCCCUAGAUAUUUCAUAACACACACAUUAUAUUCAAACUCUCCACUCAUGAAUUCAUCUAAAACAAACCGCUGUCUGUGCAUUACAUUUAUCAAGUCUAUCUAACGAAAUCUUCACAACUCGUUUUACAAUUCAACCAUAUCAAGGUAGCAAAUGAAAAAGAAACAGAAAAAGGUUAUAUUUACUAUCGAAACAUAAAAUGAAUGAACAUCCAGUGUAAUCCAAUAUACAUCCAGCUUCCUGUUAAUGCGUUUCUCCUAUGUAUGGUCCCAUUGGCUAGGGUUUUGGUUUUGUCUCGUGUCCUACUACAUUUGCAAAUGAUAUACAGUUAGCAUAC